AUGCCGCAAAUGAAAAAUAUCCAUCACACAAUCUUUCUAGUCCUACAAAUACAUGUCCACAUAAACCAAGACCCAUUCAAAGUGUUUGCCAUGGCUUGCAAGACCACAGUCGUUGUUGCUAUCGCAUGUAUCUUUAUGUUGGCACUCCUCGUGUCUUCUGCUCAAGGGGACUGCAAGGGCCAUGCUAUUAAAGUAGAAUGCAACAACAAUGAUUCAUGCAUUAAGUGGUGCCAUUACUUCGGAAUCCCUCGUGGGCAUUGUCAUAUUCAUAGUGGUGGAGGCUAUUGUGUGUGUGAUGUUUCUGACUAG
rnacentral:rRNA from 1 species